ACACGUAGGGGCCUGACGUUGUUCGGAAUCAUUGGGCGUAAAGGGCGCGCAGGCGGCCGUCCAAGUCCGGUGUUAAAUGGUCGGGCUCAACCCGAUCAUGCGCUGGAAACUGGGCGGCUUGAGUCCCGUAGGGGAUGCCGGAAUUCCAGGUGUAUGGGUGAAAUCUGUAGAUAUCUGGAAGAACACCGAUGGCGAAGGCAGGCAUCUGGCCGGAGACUGACGCUGAGGCGCGAAGGCGCGGGGAGCGAACAGGUUUAGAUACCCUGGUAGUCCGCGCAGUAAACGAUGCGCACCAGGUGUCGGGCGGCAGCGCCCGGUACCGGAGCUAACGCGAUGAGUGCGCCGCCUGGGGAGUAUGCCCGCAAGGGUGAAACUCAAAGGAAUUGACGGGG
rnacentral:rRNA from 1 species